GAUGAACGCUAGCGGCAGGCCUAAUACAUGCAAGUCGAGGGAGAAUGUUGGAUUCGUCUGACAUGAAACCGGCGCACGGGUGCGUAACACGUAUGCAACCUACCUUUAACUGGGGUAUAGCUCAGAGAAAUCUGAAUUAAUCCCCCAUAAGACUACGACAUGGCAUCAUGAUGUAGUUAAAGCUCCGGCGGUUAAGGAUGGGCAUGCGGUACAUUAGCUAGUUGGUGAGGUAAUGGCUCACCAAGGCUACGAUGUAUAGGGGGUCUGAGAGGAUGAGCCCCCACACUGGUACUGAGACACGGACCAUACUCCUACGGGAGGCAGCAGUAGGGAAUAUUGGUCAAUGGACGCAAGUCUGAACCAGCCAUGCCGCGUGAAGGAUGAAGGCCCUAUGAGUCGUAAACUUCUUUUAUUAGGGAAGAAAAAACGGGAUGCGUCCUGUACUGACGGUACUUAAUGAAUAAGGAUCGGCUAACUUCGUGCCAGCCGCCGCCGUAA
rnacentral:rRNA from 1 species